GACGGGGGGGGCAAGCGUUGUUCGGAAUUACUGGGCGUAAAGGGCUCGUAGGCGGCCAACUAAGUCAGACGUGAAAUCCCUCGGCUUAACCGGGGAACUGCGUCUGAUACUGGAUGGCUUGAGAUUGGGAGAGGGAUGCGGAAUUCCAGGUGUAGCGGUGAAAUGCGUAGAUAUCUGGAGGAACACCGGUGGCGAAGGCGGCAUCCUGGACCAACACUGACGCUGAGGAGCGAAAGCCAGGGGAGCAAACGGG
rnacentral:rRNA from 1 species